CACCUCUCAGAAUUGCAUCUGGAGAGAUUUCUGUCCUCUACCAGUCUCGGCUAAAGGAGGGAGAAUCAAGCAGAGGCCUACCCUUUCCAUUCCUAGCACGGGCAGUGGCUAGUGAGUGGAAGGCCAUCUGCUACAAGU